GGUUUAAAAUGGGCUGGGUAC
rnacentral:siRNA from 1 species